AGGACGAACGCUGGCGGCGUGCUUAACACAUGCAAGUGGAGCGACGAACCAGGCUUCGGCCUGGGGCAGAGCCGCGAACGGGUGAGUAACACGUGGGUAACCUGCCCUGAUGAUUGGGACAACCCGAGGAAACUCGGGCUAAUACCAAAUGUGCCCUCUGGCCUCAAGGCCUCUGGGGAAAGGAAGCUUCGGCCUCCGCAUUGGGAUGGGCCCGCGGCCCAUUAGCUUGUUGGUGAGGUAACGGCUCACCAAGGCUACGAUGGGUAGCUGGU
rnacentral:rRNA from 1 species